rnacentral:rRNA from 2 species
UGGGGAAUAUUGGACAAUGGGGGGAACCCUGAUCCAGCCAUGCCGCGUGUGUGAAGAAGGCCUUAUGGUUGUAAAGCACUUUAAGCGAGGAGGAGGGUACUGGUAUUAAUACUACCAGCUACUGGACGUUACUCGCAGAAUAAGCACCGGCUAACUCUGUGCCAGCAGCCGCGGUAAUACAGAGGGUGCGAGCGUUAAUCGGAUUUACUGGGCGUAAAGCGUGCGUAGGCGGCUAAUUGAGUCGGAUGUGAAAUCCCCGAGCUUAACUUGGGAAUUGCAUUCGAUACUGGUUAGCUAGAGUGUGGGAGAGGAUGGUAGAAUUCCAGGUGUAGCGGUGAAAUGCGUAGAGAUCUGGAGGAAUACCGAUGGCGAAGGCAGCCAUCUGGCCUAACACUGACGCUGAGGUACGAAAGCAUGGGGAGCAAACA